rnacentral:rRNA from 1 species
UACGUAGGGUGCGAGCGUUGUCCGGAAUUAUUGGGCGUAAAGAGCUUGUAGGCGGUUUGUCGCGUCUGCUGUGAAAAUCCGGGGCUCAACCCCGGACUUGCAGUGGGUACGGGCAGACUAGAGUGUGGUAGGGGAGACUGGAAUUCCUGGUGUAGCGGUGGAAUGCGCAGAUAUCAGGAGGAACACCGAUGGCGAAGGCAGGUCUCUGGGCUACUACUGACGCUGAGAAGCGAAAGCAUGGGGAGCGAACAGG